rnacentral:tRNA from 1 species
GGUUGUGGCUCAGUGGUAGAGGGCUUGCCUAGCAUGUACGAGGCACUGGGUUCAAUCUCCAGCACCA